rnacentral:lncRNA from 1 species
GGGAUCAUUUAUCGAGGAGUCUUGGCCAAGGCCUGUCUGCAACAGAAAUCUGAAAGGAAUUCAUCUAUAAUGGAAGCUCGGGUGAAGGCUUACAGUGGAAAUCCGGUAUGGACCACUCGUGGUAGAAAUUUGAAGUAGAUCGUUUGCAGUGGAAACUCGGAGUGGGUCGCUUGCAGUAGGAGCUCAGAGACCGGCUCCCGUAGGAGUCUGGAUGAAGUCUUCUUGCAGU